AGUGAGGACAAUGUAGACUGGAAACUCUGCCCACCCAAGAUGGACAUGUGGAAACAAGAAAUAAGCUUUUCAUGUUUUAAGCCCCUAAGAGGUUGGGGUUGUUUGUUACUGCAAUCUAACCUAGCUAAUACUGACUAAUGAUAGUCCAGAUUCCUAUGUUGAAAUCCUAACCCUUAAGGUGAUGGAAUGAGGGGCAAAGCCUUUGGGAGGUGGUUAGGAUGUGAAGGUGGAGCACUUGUGAAUGGAAUUAGUGCCCUGAGAAGGAAGGUUCCAGAGAGCUCAUGCACCAUGAGUGGAUGCGUCUAGAAGACACCAUGUAAGUACAGGAAACAGGCCAUCACUGCAUACUGAAUCUGUUAGAAACUAUAGCCUCUGUAACUAUAUGAAGUAGAUUUCUGUUGUUCUUAUAGUUAAUGGCAUUUUGCUAUAACAACUGAAUGGACUAAGACAAGAGCUGUAAAGUGUGUCCUCCUCUGGGACAGGCAUCUUUCUCAAUCCACUUCCUGCUCUUGUGAUUGGAGUCCCCAAGUAAUUUACAUUUUCAACCAUCACCCUCUGUCUGUCCCGAUUGAUGGACACUUCUUUUGUCAAUACAACUCUGUCAAAAACAGAGCUCCUUUUGUGUUUUAUUCUAAUCAGCCAAUAGCCACAGUUCCUUUUGAGGCAUGAUUCACAUAUUUAUGUUGCUUUUCUUUCUUGUUCCCAGGUCUCUAUCAAUUUAAUUUCAAUUCCCUGAAGAUAUGAGGCUUUAGGAGGAGUUACAUUUUCAGUCUCUUUUCCCUAAACCAUUUUGUUUAGGUGAAAGGGUACUUUUUCUUUUGAACACCACACCAUUAUCUGAACUGUUACUCAGAGACAUCUUGAUACAGGUUUUAACAAUUGAUAUGAUGAUGGCACCCUGAAUUUGUCCCUUGAUACAAGACUGAAGUUUCCAUUGAUCCCUGUUGCUGCUGUUUAGGACUGAGUCUUAUUUCAGGCUUAUCAGUCCCUGGAUUUUUUUUUUUUUUACAUUCUUGCUUGAAAAUGCAUCCAUUUCUUUUUAAACUCACCUCUUUCUUGUAACAUCUUGCCAAAAUAACCAUCAGUACAUGCUACUAACAAUAAUCAUCUCUCCCAGUCUUCUCCCCUAGAGGCAUGAGCUCAUCCAGAACACAAUCUGCAUCCUAAAUUCCUGCAGGCACAGCCUCUUGCUGCCCCCUCCCUCCUUUAUGGCCCUUAUCAAGACAGCAAUUCAUUUCAAUAUCCUAAUUUCUGUAUUAUUUAGCACAUAUGUGGUUAUGUUACAGGAAAAAACCAUCCCCACAUCUCAGUAGCCUAGAACAAAUUGUUUUUCUCUCUUGCUACAUGUUCAGUACAGGUCAGCGAAGGACACGUCUCUAUAUUAGCUUCAUUCAAGGACCCAACACAACAGAACCUCAACCAGGUGGAGCAUCACCAGUAGCCAUGGAAGGCGGAGGAGAACAUAGAAUUGUGAAUCUGUCCAAAGUUCACAGGGACUCUCUGGAACAAAGAGAACGCUGCAGGAAAACCCUCAUCCCCGAGACCCUCAGCUGCAGAGGAAGUGAUGGGCCGCAUCCUUCAGACCCUAGUGUCCCAUAAAUGGAACCCACAUGAUCCGGCCAGAUGGGCACUCACCUGUAACUGUCAGGACCACCUGCAGUUGAUAGCCACUUUGUCUGGUUCACUGUCAUAGUUUAUUAACCUUUUUUCUUAAGUCCAGAGAGCCCAUUGUUUGUUUCUGUCAAUUACAGGAUAGCAUUUGACAGUAUUUCUGUUGUCUCCUACGUACUUGGUGUGCAGUUAAUUUGUGAGGCCACAUCUUGGCUUUGUUGCCUCCUCUGUGGCUUUUCAUUAAAACAACAGUAAAAGUUCCUUUCAGUUUC